AUUGAACGCUGGCGGCAGGCCUAACACAUGCAAGUCGGACGGUAGCACAGAGAGCUUGCUCUCGGGUGACGAGUGGCGGACGGGUGAGUAAUGUCUGGGGAUCUGCCCGAUAGAGGGGGAUAACCACUGGAAACGGUGGCUAAUACCGCAUAACGUCGCAAGACCAAAGAGGGGGACCUUCGGGCCUCUCACUAUCGGAUGAACCCAGAUGGGAUUAGCUAGUAGGCGGGGUAACGGCCCACCUAGGCGACGAUCCCUAGCUGGUCUGAGAGGCGGACCAGCCACCCUGGAACUGAGACACGGGCCAGACUCCUACGGGAGGCAGCAGUGGGGAAUAUUGCACAAUGGGCGCAAGCCUGAUGCAGCCAUGCCGCGUGUAUGAAGAAGGCCUUCGGGUUGUAAAGUACUUUCAGCGGGGAGGAAGGCGAUGUGGUUAAUAACCGCGUCGAUUGACGUUACCCGCAGAAGAAGCACCGGCUAACUCCGUGCCAGCAGCCGCGGUAA
rnacentral:rRNA from 1 species